rnacentral:rRNA from 1 species
GAUGAACGCUGGCGGCGUGCCUAAUACAUGCAAGUCGAGCGAACGGACGAGAAGCUUGCUUCUCUGAUGUUAGCGGCGGACGGGUGAGUAACACGUGGAUAACCUACCUAUAAGACUGGGAUAACUUCGGGAAACCGGAGCUAAUACCGGAUGAUAUUUUGAACCGCAUGGUUCAAAAGUGAAAGACGGUCUUGCUGUCACUUAUAGAUGGAUCCGCGCUGCAUUAGCUAGUUGGUAAGGUAACGGCUUACCAAGGCAACGAUGCAUAGCCGACCUGAGAGGGUGAUCGGCCACACUGGAACUGAGACACGGUCCAGACUCCUACGGGAGGCAGCAGUAGGGAAUCUUCCGCAAUGGGCGAAAGCCUGACGGAGCAACGCCGCGUGAGUGAUGAAGGUCUUCGGAUCGUAAAACUCUGUUAUUAGGGAAGAACAUAUGUGUAAGUAACUGUGCACAUCUUGACGGUACCUAAUCAGAAAGCCACGGCUAACUACGUGCCAGCAGCCGCGGUAAUACGUAGGUGGCAAGCGUUAUCCGGAAUUAUUGGGCGUAAAGCGCGCGUAGGCGGUUUUUUAAGUCUGAUGUGAAAGCCCACGGCUCAACCGUGGAGGGUCAUUGGAAACUGGAAAACUUGAGUGCAGAAGAGGAAAGUGGAAUUCCAUGUGUAGCGGUGAAAUGCGCAGAGAUAUGGAGGAACACCAGUGGCGAAGGCGACUUUCUGGUCUGUAACUGACGCUGAUGUGCGAAAGCGUGGGGAUCAAACAGGAUUAGAUACCCUGGUAGUCCACGCCGUAAACGAUGAGUGCUAAGUGUUAGGGGGUUUCCGCCCCUUAGUGCUGCAGCUAACGCAUUAAGCACUCCGCCUGGGGAGUACGACCGCAAGGUUGAAACUCAAAGGAAUUGACGGGGACCCGCACAAGCGGUGGAGCAUGUGGUUUAAUUCGAAGCAACGCGAAGAACCUUACCAAAUCUUGACAUCCUUUGACAACUCUAGAGAUAGAGCCUUCCCCUUCGGGGGACAAAGUGACAGGUGGUGCAUGGUUGUCGUCAGCUCGUGUCGUGAGAUGUUGGGUUAAGUCCCGCAACGAGCGCAACCCUUAAGCUUAGUUGCCAUCAUUAAGUUGGGCACUCUAAGUUGACUGCCGGUGACAAACCGGAGGAAGGUGGGGAUGACGUCAAAUCAUCAUGCCCCUUAUGAUUUGGGCUACACACGUGCUACAAUGGACAAUACAAAGGGCAGCGAAACCGCGAGGUCAAGCAAAUCCCAUAAAGUUGUUCUCAGCUCGGAUUGUAGUCUGCAACUCGACUACAUGAAGCUGGAAUCGCUAGUAAUCGUAGAUCAGCAUGCUACGGUGAAUACGUUCCCGGGUCU